rnacentral:lncRNA from 1 species
UUUUCUACUUCUCUGACUUCUUCUAGAUGUAUUGAACAAAAAUUUAAGCGCUGCCCUCCCCUGCCCACCACCAGUGUCAUAAUAGUUUUUCAUAAUGAAGCGUGGUCCACGUUGCUUAGAACUGUCCACAGUGUGCUCUAUUCUUCACCUGCAAUACUGCUGAAGGAAAUCAUUUUGGUAGAUGACGCUAGUGUAGAUGAGUACUUACAUGAUAAACUAGAUGAAUAUGUAAAACAAUUUUCUAUAGUAAAAAUAGUCAGACAAAGAGAAAGAAAAGGUCUGAUCACUGCUCGGUUGCUAGGAGCAACAGUCGCAACAGCUGAAACGCUCACAUUUUUAGAUGCUCACUGUGAGUGUUUCUAUGGUUGGCUAGAACCUCUGUUGGCCAGAAUAGCUGAGAACUACACGGCUGUCGUAAGUCCAGAUAUUGCAUCCAUAGAUCUGAACACGUUUGAAUUCAACAAACCUUCUCCUUAUGGAAGUAACCAUAACCGUGGAAAUUUUGACUGGAGUCUUUCAUUUGGCUGGGAGUCGCUUCCUGAUCAUGAGAAGCAAAGAAGGAAAGAUGAAACCUACCCAAUUAAAACACCCACUUUUGCAGGAGGACUUUUUUCCAUAUCAAAAGAAUAUUUUGAGUAUAUUGGAAGUUAUGAUGAAGAAAUGGAAAUCUGGGGAGGUGAAAAUAUAGAAAUGUCUUUCAGAGUAUGGCAAUGUGGUGGGCAGUUGGAGAUUAUGCCUUGCUCUGUUGUUGGACAUGUUUUUCGCAGCAAAAGCCCUCAUAGCUUUCCAAAAGGCACUCAGGUGAUUGCUAGAAACCAAGUUCGCCUUGCAGAAGUCUGGAUGGAUGAAUACAAGGAAAUAUUUUAUAGGAGAAAUACAGAUGCAGCAAAAAUUGUUAAACAAAAAGCAUUUGGUGAUCUUUCAAAAAGAUUUGAAAUAAAACACCGCCUUCAGUGUAAAAAUUUUACAUGGUAUCUGAACAACAUUUAUCCAGAGGUGUAUGUGCCAGACCUUAAUCCUGUCAUAUCUGGAUAUAUUAAAAGCGUUGGUCAGCCUCUAUGUCUGGAUGUUGGAGAAAACAAUCAAGGAGGCAAACCAUUAAUUAUGUAUACGUGUCAUGGACUUGGGGGAAACCAGUACUUUGAAUACUCUGCUCAACAUGAAAUUCGGCACAACAUCCAGAAGGAAUUAUGUCUUCAUGCUGCUCAAGGUCUCGUUCAGCUGAAGGGAUGUACCUACAAAGGUCACAAGACAGUUGUCACUGGAGAGCAGAUAUGGGAGAUCCAGAAGGAUCAACUUCUAUACAAUCCAUUCUUUAAAAUGUGCCUUUCAGCAAAUGGAGAGCAUCCAAGUUUAGUGUCAUGCAACCCAUCAGAUCCACUCCAAAAAUGGGUAUUUAGCCAAAAUGAUUAAGUGUUCCUUAAAAUUAAGUUGAAAAAGGAAAUAUUCUUUCUCAUAAAACUGUGACUAGGCAUACACUGUAGUUUUUGAAAAUUAUGCAAAAGCAGCUAAAUGUAACUUAUUCCAAGUGCAUUUUUCUUAUUUAUAUCUUUAUCUAUGUAGCACUACUACAGAAAUUCUGCAAGUUUCUGUUUCAAAGCACAAUAACUAGUAAUACCAAAGACUAUUUCAAAAUGUCCAGAUGUAAGGGAAGAGAUGUUUACAGUAUGAUGAAAAUAAUUUUCCAAGUAAAGUGAUGUUUGUGUGUUUUGUACACUUAGGGAUAUAUAUAGCUACAUUCACACACUCACAAUUUAAAAUAUUUCCCCUAGUUUUUUGGGGGGAUAGGAAGAAAGAUUUGUUACUGUAUUUUUUUAACUACGUAGAAAUAGAUCAAUAAAGGUCAGCAUUGGCCUCUGUGUACAAACCAAGAGCUUUUACAGAUCCAGAAUUUAUUAUUUUAAAAUGCAGUUGAACUUUUUUUUGCCUUUGGUUUACUUGUCUGUCAAAUGUUUCCUUAAACAUGAAACUGAAUAAGGAGAAGAGUAUUUUUAACACUUAAAUUUCUUGGCAAAUUUUAAAACAUUUUUUAGUCUGUA